GAUGGAGAACGCAGCGAAAUGCGAUAAGUAAUGUGAAUUGCAGAAUUCAGUGAAUCAUCGAAUCUUUGAACGCACAUUGCGCCCGCCAGUAUUCUGGCGGGCAUGCCUGUUCGAGCGUCAUUUCAACCAUCAAGCCCCCGGCUUGUGUUGGGGACCUGCGGCUGCCGCAGGCCCUGAAAAGCAGUGGCGGGCUCGCUGUCACACCGAGCGUAGUAGCAUACAUCUCGCUCUGGGCGUGCUGCGGGUUCCGGCCGUUAAACCACCUUCAUAACCCAAGGUUGACCUCGGAUCAGGUAGGAAGACCCGCUGAACUUAAGCAUAUCAAUAAGCGGAGGA
rnacentral:misc_RNA from 1 species